rnacentral:rRNA from 1 species
AUGCAACGCGAGAACCUACCUGGUCUUGACAUCCCGGAGACCCUUAGGAAACUAGGGGUUGGCUUCCAUCUGGAAGAAUCUGGAGACAGGUGCUGCAUGGCUGUCGUCAGCUCGUGUCGUGAGAUGUGGGUUAAGUCCCGCAACGAGCGCAACCCUUGCCUUUAGUUGCCAGCAGUUCGGCUGGGCACUCUAAAGGGACUGCCGGUGUUAAACCGGAGGAAGGUGGGGGAUGACGUCAAGUCCUCAUGGCCUUUAUGACCAGGGCUACACACGUACUACAAUGGCCGAUACAAAGGGCAGCGACACUGCGAGGUGAAGCCAAUCCCGUAAAAUCGGUCUCAGUCCGGAUUGGAGUCUGCAACUCGACUCCAUGAAGUUGGAAUCGCUAGUAAUCGUGGAUCAGCAUGCCACGGUGAAUACGUUCCCGGGCCUU